UCUUCACUUUUGCUUCUUUCGUUAUAAUUCUCCACUAGACAACCUCUCCCACUAAUUGUGUAUUAGCCGUGUAUGUUAUCUUGGGCGCGGACGCACCGUGCUCUCGACGUGGUGUGGAAAGCAGCCUGGUUCAGCGCUGAAUUCAUAAAACAGCCUUCAUGGUUUGUGAAAGAAUAUCUGUGUACUUAGGCAGGAAACUUUUUGAUCUGCAGAAAAGCCAGAAGACCUCUAGGGUAUCCUCAAUGACUAUACAGAGAAAAUUUUAUUCAUCUUUAAAGUCAUGGAACUGAAAUGAAGACAUGUGAAACAGAAGCAAAACACACUCUAUAAAAUGAGUCUGUGAUGCUCCUAUGGAGAGAGCCUGCAGUUUGGGGUGGUGUACUCAAGUGGCUUAAGUGGGGACCCCAGAGAUUGUAUCGAGCUCCAGAAGAGCCCCAAUGAGUUGAGCUGCAAUGGUAGAAACCUCACAGGUCAUUAUUUUCUCUGUUAUGC